AAACUGGCCCUUAAGUAUGUUAAACGGCCGCGGUAUUUUGACCGUGCAAAGGUAGCGCAAUAAAUUGUCUCUUAAUUGGAGACUAGUAUGAAUGGCAUCACGAGGGCUUAACUGUCUCCCCUUUAAAAUCAGUGAAAUUGAUCUCCCCGUGCAGAAGCGGGGAUACACUCGUAAGACGAGAAGACCCUAUGGAGCUUAAGAUAUAAAUUAACCCACGUCAAAAACCCAAAGAGGAAAAGAACAGAGUGAACUUAUUAGCAUGUCUUUGGUUGGGAUGACCGCGGAGAAAAACAUAACCCCCGCACGGACAGGCCAAUCAGCCCUAAAACAUAGACCCACAGGUCAAAUCAACAGUAUUUCUGACCGACAGACCCGGCACAAGCCGAUUAAUGGACCUAGUUACCCUAGGGAUAACAGCGCAAUCCCCUCCAAGAGACCUUAUCAACGAAGGGGUUUACGAC
rnacentral:rRNA from 1 species